rnacentral:ribozyme from 1 species
ACGAAACAGAAAAAGGAGACGUGAUGACGACGUGUAUGUGUGUAUGUAAGUUUCUAGAGAUGAAAUCGUUUUUUUUUUUUUUUUUUU